rnacentral:rRNA from 1 species
GACGAACGCUGGCGGCGUGCCUAAUACAUGCAAGUAGAACGCUGAAGAGAGGAGCUUGCUCUUCUUGAAUGAGUUACGAACGGGUGAGUAACGCGUAGGUAACCUGCCUUGUAGCGGGGGAUAACUAUUGGAAACGAUAGCUAAUACCGCAUAACAAUGGGUGACACAUGUCAUUUAUUUGAAAGGGGCAAUUGCUCCACUACAAGAUGGACCUGCGUUGUAUUAGCUAGUAGGUGAGGUAACGGCUCACCUAGGCGACGAUACAUAGCCGACCUGAGAGGGUGAUCGGCCACACUGGGACUGAGACACGGCCCAGACUCCUACGGGAGGCAGCAGCAGGGAAUCUUCGGCAAUGGGGGCAACCCUGACCGAGCAACGCCGCGUGAGUGAAGAAGGUUUUCGGAUCGUAAAGCUCUGUUGUAAGUCAAGAACGAGUGUGAGAGUGGAAAGUUCACACUGUGACGGUAGCUUACCAGAAAGGGACGGCUAACUACGUGCCAGCAGCCGCGGUAAUACGUAGGUCCCGAGCGUUGUCCGGAUUUAUUGGGCGUAAAGCGAGCGCAGGCGGUUUGAUAAGUCUGAAGUUAAAGGCUGUGGCUCAACCAUAGUUCGCUUUGGAAACUGUCAAACUUGAGUGCAGAAGGGGAGAGUGGAAUUCCAUGUGUAGCGGUGAAAUGCGUAGAUAUAUGGAGGAACACCGGUGGCGAAAGCGGCUCUCUGGUCUGUAACUGACGCUGAGGCUCGAAAGCGUGGGGAGCGAACAGG